rnacentral:rRNA from 1 species
UGGGGAAUAUUGGACAAUGGGCGCAAGCCUGAUCCAGCCAUGCCGCGUGAGUGAUGAAGGCCCUAGGGUUGUAAAGCUCUUUCACCGGUGAAGAUAAUGACGGUAACCGGAGAAGAAGCCCCGGCUAACUUCGUGCCAGCAGCCGCGGUAAUACGAAGGGGGCUAGCGUUGUUCGGAUUUACUGGGCGUAAAGCGCACGUAGGCGGACUUUUAAGUCAGGGGUGAAAUCCCGGGGCUCAACCCCGGAACUGCCUUUGAUACUGGAAGUCUUGAGUAUGGUAGAGGUGAGUGUAAUUCCGAGUGUAGAGGUGAAAUUCGUAGAUAUUCGGAGGAACACCAGUGGCGAAGGCGGCUCACUGGACCAUUACUGACGCUGAGGUGCGAAAGCGUGGGGAGCAAACAGG